CAAUAGCGUAUAUUAAAGUUGCUGCAGUUAAAAGCUCGUAGUUGGAUUUGUGGCGCGGUCGUCCGGCGGGCUCCAUUACUGGGCCGUUUGUCUGGUUUCGUACCGCUCCAUUCUCGGGUAGCGUGUCGCGGGCAUUAGAUUGUCUGCUUCUUCGCGCCCGUCGUUUACUGUGAAAAAUUAGAGUGUUCAAAGCAGGCUUAGGCCGUUGGAUACAUUAGCAUGGAAUAAUGAGAUAGGGCCACGACGGUCUAUUUUGUUGGUUUGCACGUUGUGGUAAUGAUUAACAGGAACGGUUGGGGGUAUUCGUACUCAAUUGUCAGAGGUGAAAUUCUUGGAUUUAUGGAAGACGAACUACUGCGAAAGCAUUUACCAAGGAUGUUUUUCAUUAAUCAAGAACGGAAGUUAGGGGAGUCGAAGAUGAUUAGAUACCAU
rnacentral:rRNA from 1 species